rnacentral:rRNA from 1 species
AUUGGACAAUGGGCGAAACGUGAUCCAGCAAUACCGCGUGUGUGAAGAAGGCCUGAGGGUUGUAAAGCACUUUCAAUAGGAAGGAAUACCUGCCGGCUAAUACCCGGUAGASUGACAUUACCUAUACAAGAAGCACCGGCUAACUCCGUGCCAGCAGCCGCGGUAAUACGGAGGGUGCAAGCGUUAAUCGGAAUUACUGGGCGUAAAGCGUGCGUAGGCGGCUUGUUCAGUCAGAUGUGAAAGCCCUGGGCUUAACCUGGGAACUGCAUUUGAUACUGGCAGGCUAGAGUUUAGUAGAGGGGAGUGGAAUUUCAGGUGUAGCGGUGAAAUGCGUAGAGAUCUGAAGGAACACCAGUGGCGAAGGCGGCUCCCUGGACUAAAACUGACGCUGAGGUACGAAAGCGUGGGUAGCAAACAGGAUUAGAUACCCUGGUAGUCCACGCCGUAAACGAUGUCAACUAACCGUUGGGUUCUUAAAGAACUUAGUGGUGGAGCUAACGUAUUAAGUUGACCGCCUGGGGAGUACGGCGCAA